UUACCUACGGGGGGCAGCAGUAGGGAAUCUUCCACAAUGGACGAAAGUCUGAUGGAGCAACGCCGCGUGAGUGAAGAAGGGUUUCGGCUCGUAAAGCUCUGUUGGUAGUGAAGAAAGAUAGAGGUAGUAACUGGCCUUUAUUUGACGGUAAUUACUUAGAAAGUCACGGCUAACUACGUGCCAGCAGCCGCGGUAAUUCGUAGGGGGCAAGCGUUGUUCGGAAUAACUGGGCGUA
rnacentral:rRNA from 1 species